GAUGAACGCUGGCGGCGUGCCUAAUACAUGCAAGUCGAGCGAACAGACGAGGAGCUUGCUCCUCUGACGUUAGCGGCGGACGGGUGAGUAACACGUGGAUAACCUACCUAUAAGACUGGGAUAACUUCGGGAAACCGGAGCUAAUACCGGGUAAUAUAUUGAACCGCAUGGUUCAAUAGUGAAAGACGGUUUUGCUGUCACUUAUAGAUGGAUCCGCGCCGCAUUAGCUAGUUGGUAAGGUAACGGCUUACCAAGGCAACGAUGCGUAGCCGACCUGAGAGGGGGAUCGGCCACACUGGAACUGAGACACGGUCCAGACUCCUACGGGAGGCAGCAGUAGGGAAUCUUCCGCAAUGGGCGAAAGCCUGACGGAGCAACGCCGCGUGAGUGAUGAAGGUCUUCGGAUCGUAAAACUCUGUUAUUAGGGAAGACCAAAUGUGUAAGUAACUAUGCACGUCUUGACGGUACCUAAUCAGAAAGCCACGGCUAACUACGUG
rnacentral:rRNA from 1 species